UGGCAUUCCUAAUAUGCAACAGAAUGACGCUCUUCAAAGAGCCAGAGCACAGGCCAUUAUUUCCUAGAUUGUAUCAUGAACAAACUUCACCCUAGUUGAAGGGAUUAGCAGUAGCAAGUAGAGGAACUUCAGCCUAGGGGUUUAUUGUGAAGCUCAGACUCAAUAUUUUAGUUUGCAAGAUGGGCUCCUUGCCAUGUGACAUUAAGACUGGCAGGGAGAACAACAGAUACAGCAGAGGUAAAGAUGAGGCCUGAUCUGAUCUUUGUAUUGCCAAGAGCCCAGCACAGGCCCAUUUGAGGAAAAAUCAACAGAUACUGAUGGAACCACAUGAUUCUCUCAUGGAGAUGCUCACAGUAUGGACCUUUCCUAUGAAAGCAUCAACUGGAAGGUGUGGAUGGAAACCAUAUGACUCACAUUGCUACCACGGCAGCCUAAGUCCAUCUUUGUAACAGACAUGGCAACACAUCUACUAUCAGAGACUGGGCACAGAGUAAAGGACUCUUGGUUUCAAAUUUAUAGGAUACCACUGCCAGACUUAUGAUUCCUGCUAAAGUUGACCUGAGUGUCCUGCAGUAAGGGAGGCUUCAUUGCACAGUGACUUAUCCUUGCCUGCUUCUUUCUGGAAGAUUGACCUUUNUGAUUCCUGCUAAAGUUGACCUGAGUGUCCUGCAGUAAGGGAGGCUUCAUUGCAGUGACUUAUCCUUGUCUGCUUCUGGAAGAUUGACCUUCGAUCAUGUCUCAGAACUAUCAGUAUAGUGUGUCACUGCUGUUGACAGCUUUUCUGAUUAAUGUUGCUAUUCUAGUCUGAUUAGUCAACCUGAUAGAGAAUCCUUAUAAGAAUGAUUCUUUCUAGGUAUUAUUUUGGAUACAUUUUAUCAGUAAUAAAUUCCCUUCUGGUCCAGGUACACUAAGGGUAAAAGAAGUAAAAGAACUCCUUGAUAUUGAUCCAUGUUACCAGUUUGCUAUUUAUCAGACUACAAAAGAAAUAUAUGAACAAGGACUAUGUUAUAACCAAGAAACAUGUCAAAUAUUUUACUCUACUUACAUUAAAAAAAACUCCAUCAACUUUUCAUAUGUAAUUUUAUUUUUGCCUUUACUUCUAUUCCAUAUAAGCAGGAGGCCAUAUUUCAGAUGCCUUACCCUCCAUUUGAAGAAAAAAAAAAGCUCUGUUGGAUUGGAGUGCUCAUGUGUCUUCAUUUCAGUGUCAACUCAUGAAAGUUCUCCUUUAUACUCAGAUUGGCUCGAUUUCUCAUCUGUAAUGCAGCAUCCAAAAGAAAAAAAAAGGUGGAAGAUGCAGAAGACACUUGAUCAAGACAGGUGUCUUGCUCAGAAAUUUUCUACAAUGGCAUAUCAGUUUGCAAUACGUCAAAUGAAUUUUGCAUGGGGAAAGGAGUCAGGAACAAAUUAGUGGAGAAUGAAUUUUAAGACGAAUGGCAACUCUGGAGAUAAAUAUGGGAAGUCAGGACAUUAGAUUUUAACUAUUGAGAAAAUAUAGAUCAACCAGGAGAAAAACUCUAAUGAUUGAAUAGUGAUAUACACCACACUUAGGAAUGAAAAAUAGAAUAGUGAGUAAUUGAUUCGGGACAUUAGAUUUUAACUAUUGAGAAAAUAUAGAUCAACCAAAAGAAAAACUUUAAUGAUUGAAUAUUGAUAUACACUACACUCAGGAAUGAAAAAUAGAAUAGUAAUUGAUCCCAGUGGUUAACAAUAAUACAGAGAAAAGAAAAUACAGUGUAGAAUCAGUUAACUACAUCUAAGAUAAUGCUGUAUUAAUUAUUGCAAUGGUACACUGUCAUGAUUCCUAAUUAUUUUAUUUAGAAUUAUUGUUUCUAAGCCGAUAAACCAGAUUGGUUCAGGAUUUUCCAUUGGAUAUAGACUCUCUGUUUAUAUAAUACUAAGAAAGAAUGGACUGGGAAAUUUUGCAACUUUUAUUUCAGCAUUGGAAGUUUCUAGGAGCAAAGAAAUAAUUUUGCUCUUGACCUAACUUCAAUUUUUGCAGAAAUUCUUCAUGCAGAUGCAUUCACUGGUUUAAACCGGGAAGAGGGCUUGGCCAUUGUAGUUUUUCUGUCUGUUUCACUGUUUCUGCUGUUACACAUGUAUUGAUCAAUUUAGUCCUUCUAAGAUAAUUUUAUACAUACUUGCAUAAUUCAUUUAUUCUCCCAUAACUCCAUUUCAUCUAGGUUUCAAAAUUAAUAAGUAUGUAAUUGAACAUAAUAUCCUUCAAAGUGAGUCAGAUUAAUGGGCACUGAGAUAUUGGAGUUCAUGAGUAUGCAUUUUACAGUCUGUCAGUUCUUUUGUUAAUGUAAGUGCUAUAGAUAGAGAACAUAAUAGUUUCAUUAAUAUGGCUAUCUCCUUUGUAAUUCUUAUUAUGGUCACUUUGCCAAAAAAGCAUAUUUAAGUGGCUGUUUUUACGUAUCUGUGCAUCCAUUUUUCCUUCUCCUUUUAUAUCCUUACUUAAUACUUAGUGGAAUAUUUUGAUCUAAAACUUAAGAUUUUCUUCAGCUCAGAAAAUAGUCUUUGUUCCUACAGUGACCCCUUUACCUCUUACUUCUAUGUUGUAUUUUCCUAAAGUGUUUAUUAUAUGCUUUCUCAGUUUUAUCUUAUAACUUGCAUUUUUAUAUGUUAGAUCAGUAGAGCUGGGAGCAGCAGUAAGUACCCUAAUUGAUGGAAAAACACCUACCAUGUAAACGAAUGUGAAAAGAAAGCUGAGGUAGGGAUACCUCUCUUGAACAAAAUAGACUGACUUUAAAACAAAAACUGUAACAAGAGACAAGGAAGGGCCUCACAUAACCAUAUAGGGAACAAUCCAAGCAGAGGAUAUAACAAUCGUAAGUAUUCAUGCACCCAACAUGGGAACACCUAAAAACAUAAAGCAUCUAUUAACAAACAUAAAGAAUUUGAUAGUAGUUCAAUAAUACUGGGGGACAUUAACCCCCCACUUACAUCAAUGGAAAGAUAAUCAGAAAGACAGAAAGCAACAAGGACAGAAAAGCAACAAGGAAGCAAUAGUUUUGAAUGGCACACUCGACCAGAUGGACCUAAUAAAUACAUUCAGAACAUUCCA
ensembl:lncRNA